rnacentral:tRNA from 1 species
GCCCCAGUGGCCUAAUGGCUAAGGCACUGGCCUCCUAAGCCAGGGAUUGUGCGUUCAAGUCCCAUCUGGGGUG